UGGCCCCCUGGAUCAUCGGGAGACUCGGCCCACACAACGCUCUCGGCGGGGGGCUACUCGUCCAGUCCGUGACACUGGCGACCUGGGCCGUCGUCGGCGAUGCCAGUGGGCCUAUCGCCGCAACUCUGAUCGCGCCCACCGUCCCGUGGGCUCUCGGGAUGGGCGUCUCGAUCGUCAGUUCCUUCGUCAUCUGCACCAGCGGAGUCCCAAGGCCCGUUGCUGGCGCCGCGUCCGGCCUGGCCACCGCG
rnacentral:misc_RNA from 1 species